AGGACACUAGCGCCCUGCGUACAGGAGCUUCCAGCGUCAGGCCAGGCCCCCACCCUCACCCCACCAUUAGCCCUCACCUGUGCCCACUUCUUUGCAGUUUGAGAAACAUUUUCGAUUUCAAAACUCCAUUGGCUUCAUGUAAACUUCAUUUACUGGGCACCUGGCACCUUGCUGAGUCUUGAGGAAUCAGCAGAGACAAUGCGGUCCCUGCUGUCGUGGAGCUGGCAUCCUGGUGGGAAGAGACAGACAGCAAACAAAUGCUUAGAUACAUGACGAAGAUAAUUUUAGAGCAGUAAGUGCUAGGACGAAAAUUAGCAGGUGAAGUGACGGCUAGGGCUCCUUGGCUGGGGGAGAGAGAAGGAGGCCUGUCUGUGCAAAGAUCUAAAUAGCAAGAGGAACCGCCAUGGGUAGAGUCUGGGAAGAGCAUUUUGUUCUUUUAGAGGCAGGGUCUUGCUGUGUUGCCCAGGCCGAACUUGAAUUCCUGGCCUCAAACAGUCCUCCCACCUCAGCCUUCUGAGUAGCUGGGACUACAGGGGCCUGCCCUCCUGGGAAGAGCAUCAUUGGCAGAAAGAACAUCAAGUGCAAAGGUCCUGAGGCAGGAGAGAACUUGGGCAGAGGGGAGCUGGUCAAGGCAUCAGAGCUUGUGGGUGACCUGGGACAAGUGAAUCCUGCAUCUGCAAAAUAAGAUAAGAAAAUCAAGGCUCAGAGAGGUGAAGUCACUGAUCCAAAGUCACACAGCAGGUCAAAAGGAGAUCAUGUUUCCUGCCUGGAGGAGAGGCCCCGGUGGACUGGAAUAGGAGAAAGUGGAGGGGGUGUAUUUCAGGAUAGAAUCCUGCACCCUGCCAGGGACCACGCUUAUCCUUGGCUCACUCAAUAGGAUGCAAGGGCGUUUACUGUGGCCAGGUCUUGUGAGUGCCCAGAGCCCUGUGGCAAGAAGCCUCUGCCAGGGAAAGGGAUGCGGGGAAGUGGAGGCAGUGAUGGGGAAGCAGAGCCAGGAGAGACCCUUGGGCUUCCUUCCUUCAAGGCCUCUGGUCUCUAGCAGAGAGAAGAGAGGGAGCAGUGCUCUCUUGCCCUUCUGCCUUCCACCAUGGGAUGAUA
rnacentral:lncRNA from 1 species